UACGUAGGUGGCAAGCGUUGUCCGGAUUUACUGGGCGUAAAGAGCGCGCAGGCGGUCGUUCAAGUCGCGUGUGAAAGCCCCCGGCUCAACUGGGGAGGGUCACGCGAUACUGAUCGACUCGAAGGCAGGAGAGGGAGGUGGAAUUCCCGGUGUAGUGGUGAAAUGCGUAGAUAUCGGGAGGAACACCAGUGGCGAAGGCGACUUCCUGGCCUGUUCUUGACGCUGAGGCGCGAAAGCUAGGGAGCAAACGGG
rnacentral:rRNA from 1 species